UGGUUUUACUCCAAAGGCAGUGAAAUCUUUCACAAGUUUGUGUACUUCAGUCUCUUCCUCAGAACCACGUUUGGUCCUAAGGCAUCUUUUCAGGAUGAGACAGCCAGCUGUGUAAAUUGAAAUUGGUGAACAAUCGUCCACUGGAG
rnacentral:lncRNA from 1 species